UUCUUGCUAAAACAAGAUUUCAAGGAAUUUCUUUUCUUGGUGAAUAAGAAUUCAUGGAAUUCAGCUAGAAAUAAGUAAUACGAUUCUUGCAUGAACAAAAUUCAAAAUGGAAAUUGGAAACAUAGAAUGGAUCGUCCUACUUUGCAUCAAUUACAGCUCCUUAUGACAAUAAAAACAAAGACAAGUGAACAUAAAAAAGAAAAAGGAGAUUGAUGAACCUUUCUUGUCCAAUUACCACCAAUUCAAGAUGCCGGAAACCACCACCACCACAAAUUCCGACCAUCAAAACAAACCCAAUUCCAGCAAAAUUAUUCAGAGCGAAUACACGAAGUUUACCGUUAAACUAACACCAGAUCAGAAUUAGAAGUAGAGGCCCUCAUCUUAUAUAAGAAAGAAAGGAAUUCCUAAAACCCCAUCUCUUGAAUUCACCACCGAGCCAAAGCUAACACAACGGAAACCAACACCACCCCAAAUUCCGGCCACCGAAAAACCAAAUUCCGGCCAACACCACUGGGCAUAACAAUCGGGUAAAUAUUUCCUGGUGGUCCAGGAAAGUAAUUGUAAGAUGGAGGAGUAGGAGGAGGAGGACAAUAGAUUUUGGAUGGACUUUUAGGAGGAGGAGGAGGAGGAGGCAUAUUGCAAGGGUUAUUACAUGAAGUGCAGGCGGUGCAAUCCGUUGCAUCGAGUUUUUUAGGAGACGACGAAGUGGCCGGAAUUAGAAUGAAGAAUACGAAGAUUAAGGGAAGGAGGUUUUCCCGGCUAGUUGAGGUCAUUUUCCGGUAGUAUUUGGCCGGAACACUGCAAUUGGGGCAGAGGGGGAGCGCUUGAGUGUCUUGGAGCGAAAUGGUGGCUGGCGCCAUUUAAGGUGGGGCAUUUUGUGAAGGCGAGUUGUAUAGGCCUGGGAUUUCUAUUAAUACCGGAUAGGUCCAUUCUCUUCUCUUGUAUGCUCA
rnacentral:lncRNA from 1 species